rnacentral:rRNA from 1 species
UGAUGAACGCUAGCUACAGGCUUAACACAUGCAAGUCGAGGGGCAGCAUGGUCUUAGCUUGCUAAGGCUGAUGGCGACCGGCGCACGGGUGAGUAACACGUAUCCAACCUGACGUCUAUUCUUGGACAGCCUUCUGAAAGGAAGAUUAAUACAAGAUGGCAUCAUGAGUCCGCAUGUUCACAUGAUUAAAGGUAUUCCGGUAGACGAUGGGGAUGCGUUCCAUUAGAUAGUAGGCGGGGUAACGGCCCAACUAGUCUUCGAUGGAUAAGGGUACUGAGAGGAAGGUCCCCCACAUAGAAACUGAGACACGGUCCAAAAUCCUACAGGAGGACGCAGUGAGGCAUCAUCUGGUCACUGGGCGAGAGCCUGAACCAGACAAGUAGCGUGAAAGAUGACUGCCCUAUGGGUCGUAAACAUUCUUACAAUAAAGGACUAAACGACGGGCACUCGGAUCCCCGCAAGCAUGUACUUAAUGAAUA